rnacentral:rRNA from 1 species
UACGGGGGGGAGCAAGCGUUGUUCGGAUUUACUGGGCGUAAAGGGCGCGUAGGCGGUGCCUCAAGUCAGGCGUGAAAGCCCCGGGCUCAACCUGGGAAUGGCGAUGGAUACUGGCUCGCUAGAGUGCGGUAGAGGAGAGUGGAAUUCCCGGUGUAGCAGUGAAAUGCGUAGAUAUCGGGAGGAACACCAGUGGCGAAGGCGGCUCUCUGGGGGUAUUUCUGACGCUGAGGCACGAAAGCCAGGGGAGCGAACGGG